rnacentral:rRNA from 1 species
AGCAGCCGCGGUAAUUCCAGCUCCAAUAGCGUAUAUUAAAGUUGUUGCAGUUAAAAAGCUCGUAGUUGAAUUUCGGGGUUAGUAGGUUGGUCAUGCCUCUGGUAUGUACUGGUCUCACUGAUUCCUCCUUCCUGAUGAACCUUAAUGCCAUUUAUUUGGUGUUUUGGGGAAUUUGGACUGUUACUUUGAAAAAAUUAGAGUGUUUAAAGCAAGCUAACGCUUGAAUACAUUAGCAUGGAAUAAUGAAAUAGGACGUUCGAUCCUAUUUUGUUGGUUUCUAGGAUUGACGUAAUGAUUAAUAGGGAUAGUUGGGGGCAUUAGUAUUCAAUUGUCAGAGGUGAAAUUCUUGGAUUUAUUGAAGACUAACUACUGCGAAAGCAUUUGCCAAGGAUGUUUUCAUUAAUCAAGAACGAAAGUUAGGGGAUCGAAGACGAUCAGAUACCGUCGUAGUCUUAACCAUAAACUAUGCCGACUAGGGAUCGGAUGAUGUUAAUUUUUAAUGACUCAUUCGGCGCCUUAC